CUGGCACCCACAUGGCCCCACACGUGUCCUUGUGUGCACACACGUGACCUCACACACACACACACAUGUCCCUCUCACACAUACGUGUCCCUCACACACAUACGUGUCCCUCAGACACACGUGUCACACACCUGUCCUCACAGUCACACACACACGUGUCCCUCUCACACACAUGUGACCUCACACACACACGCGUGUCCCUGUGCACACACGUGUCCCUCACACACGCGUGUCACACACCUGUCCUCGCUCACACACACACAUGACCUCUCACACACGCACGUGUCCCUUGCACACACAUGUGACCUCACAGACACACGUGUCCCUGCGCACACACACGUGUCCCUCUUGCACGCGUGUCCCUCUCACACGCGUGCCCCUCACACACGCGUGUCCCUGUGCACACACGCGUGAACCCCAAACCCAUCCCUCGCACACGCGUGUGCCCCCCCCACACGUGUCCCUCGCACACGCACCCACACGCGUGUCCUCAAACACGGCCCUCGCACACUCACCCGCCCCCUCUCCCACACGCCUCUCACACGUGGCCCUUGCACACCCGUCCCUCGCACACCCAACAGUCCACACCCAUCCCUUGCACACCCACCCCUGGCACACUCACAGUCCCUCACACACAUCACACACGUGGCCCUCGCACACUCACGUGUCUCACACCCACAGUCCCUUACACACCCAUCCCUUGCACACCCGUCCCUUGCACACCCGUCCCUUGCACACUCACCUGUCCCUUGCACACCCACAGUCCCUCACACACAUCACACACGUGUCCCUUGCACACUCACCCGUCCCUUGCACACACACGUCUCACACCCACAGACCCUCGCACACUCACGUGUGUCCCCCCACAUCACACACCUGUCCCUUGCACACCCGUCCCUCGCACACUCACGUGUCCCUCACACACAUCACACACCCGUGCCUUGCACACUCCUGUCUCACACACGCAUGUCCCUCGCACACACACGUGUCUCACACCCACAGACCCUCGCACACCCACCCCUGGCACACUCACAGUCCCUCACACACAUCACACACACGUCCCUUGCACACUCAUGUCUCACACACGUGUGUCCCUCACACAUCACGCACCCGUCCCUUGCACACCCACAGUCCGUCACACACUCCCGUGUCCCUCACACACAUCACACACGUGUCCCUUGCACACUCACCUGUCCCUCCCCAUCACACACCCGUCCCUCGCACACUCAUGUCUCACACACACACGUGUCUCACACCCACAGUCCCUUGCACACUCAUGUGUCCCUCACACACAUCACACCCAUCCCUCGCACACUCACCUGUCCCUCACACAUCACACACGUGUCCCUUGCACACCCACAGUCCCUCACACUCACAGUCCCUUACACACUCAUGUGUCCCUUGCACACUCAUCCAUCCCUUGCACACUCACCUGUCCCCCCCAUCACCCACAGUCCCUUACACACUCACCUGUCCCUCACACACCCACGUCUCACACCCAUCCCUCCCUUGCACACCCGUCCCUUGCACACUCAUGUCCCUCACACACAUCACACACGUGUCCCUCGCACACCCAUCCCUCACACACUCACCUGUCCCUCUCCACGUGUGUCCCUCGCACACUCGUGUGUCACACCCAUCCCUUGCACACCCACAGUCCCUCACACACAUCACACACCCGUCCCUUGCACACUCACCCAUCCCUUGCACACCCACAGUCCCUCACACACAUCACACACCCAUCCCUUGCACACUCACCUGUCCCUCUCCACGUGUGUCCCUCGCACACUCGUGUGUCACACCCGUCCCUUGCACACCCAGUCCCUCACACACAUCACACACCCGUCCCUUGCACACUCACCCGUCCCUCUCCCACGCGUGUCCCUCACACACUCACGUGUCUCACACCCACAGUCCCUUGCACACCCGUCCCUUGCACACCCACCUGUCCCUCUUUCACAUGUCCCUUGCACACUCACCCGUCCCUCACCCGGCCACGUCUCACACCCACAGUCCCUCGCACACCCACCCCUCGCACACUCACGUGACCCUCACACACAUCACACGCGUGUCCCUUGCACACUCAUCCGUCCCUUGCACACUCACAGUCCCUCACACACAUCACACACGUGUCCCUUGCACACUCAUCCAUCCCUUGCACACUCA
rnacentral:lncRNA from 1 species